ACUGGCGUAACUUCUGUUGGGAACGGGAGGGAACAGAGUGCAAGAGCACUUUUCGAACGUUUUAGGAGCUAACCAACAAGUUCCACGACAAAAGACAAAUAAUAGCGAUGGCAAAGAUCGGAAAGAUCGUCAAAGAUAUCUACUACGAUCAAUUUAAAUGGUCGGUGGUGAAGAACAUUGCGUUCUUUAUGGUCGGCGUCAAGAUCGCUAUCGAGUGUAAUGGGAUGACCCUCAUGCCGCCAGUUUAAGAUUCAAGUCCCUCAAAUCCACAAGGAUCCACAAAAUGAUUGUCCAAAUGCUUCGAUAAUCUUUACAUCUUGCAAGCACGUUACGGCCAUUGCAGCAAUAUUUAACUUCCGUUGUACUAUACACAUUACGCAGUUAUACAAUUUUCUAUUUGGAAUACGAUAUAUUGUAGAAUUUUUAUAUAAUAAAUGGCACAUUUACGUUCGGUUAUCG